rnacentral:tRNA from 1 species
UCCCUGGUGGCUCAGACGGUACAGAAUCUGCCUGCAAAGCAGGAGACCCGGGUUUGAUCCCUGGGUUGGGAA